GCAAAAGCUCAAAUUUGAAACCUUCGGGAUUGUAAUUUGAAGAUUAAGGCAUUGGAGAAAGCUAACCCAAGUUGCUUGGAAUAGUACGUCAUAGAGGGUGACAACCCCGUCUGGCUAACCGUUCUCCAUGUAUUGCCUUAUCAAAGAGUCGAGUUGUUUGGGAAUGCAGCUCAAAGUGGGUGGUAAACUCCAUCUAAAGCUAAAUACUGGUGAGAGACCGAUAGCGAACAAGUACUGUGAAGGAAAGGUGAAAAGAACUUUGAAAAGAGAGUGAAAUAGUAUGUGAAAUUGUUGAUAGGGAAGGAAAUGAGUGGAGAGUGGUUGAGGUUUCAGCUUACCUUUGGGUAGGUGUAUUGCCAACGCCGAGUCAUUGACAGCGAGACGGCGGUU
rnacentral:rRNA from 1 species